UCGGGAAUCUUGCACAAUGGGCGAAAGCCUGAUGCAGCAGCACCGUGUGGGUGACGAAGGUCUUCGGAUCGUAAAGCCCUGUUGUUGGGGACGAAGGGCGAAGGGUUAAUAGCCCCUAGCCUGACGGUACCCUUCGAGGAAGCCCCGGCUAACUACGUGCCAGCAGCCGCGGUAAUACGUAGGGGGCGAGCGUUGUCCGGAAUUAUUGGGCGUAAAGAGCGUGUAGGCGGUUCGGUAAGUCUGCCGUGAAAACCUGGGGCUCAACCCUGGGCGUGCGGUGGAUACUGCCGGGCUAGAGGAUGGCAGAGGCGAGUGGAAUUCCCGGUGUAGCGGUGAAAUGCGCAGAUAUCGGGAGGAACACCAGUAGCGAAGGCGGCUCGCUGGGCCCGUUCUGACGCUGAAGUGCGAAAGCGUGGGGAGCAAACAGGAUUAGAUACCCCGGUAGUCC
rnacentral:rRNA from 1 species